CUUACCUUUCAGGGUGGUGGUAUUGCUUGUGGAGGUUCCCUGCAUGUCUGGAUCCCCGCUUCUGCGGUGGCAGCAGGCAGCUAAUUGCUUUGUAGAUGUCGGAAACAGCGGGAGGCAGUGUGCAGAGGCACUAUAGAGAGCCUGCUGACCAACAGCAUCUCUGUCUGGAC